rnacentral:rRNA from 1 species
GAUGAACGCUGGCGGCGUGCCUAACACAUGCAAGUCGAACGAAGCACUUCGAUUUCUUCGGAAUGAAAAAGUGACUGAGUGGCGGACGGGUGAGUAACGCGUGGGUAACCUGCCUCAUACAGGGGGAUAACAGUUAGAAAUGACUGCUAAUACCGCAUAAGCGCACAGUACCGCAUGGUACAGUGUGAAAAACUCCGGUGGUAUGAGAUGGACCCGCGUCUGAUUAGCUAGUUGGUAAGGUAACGGCUUACCAAGGCGACGAUCAGUAGCCGGCCUGAGAGGGGUGAUCGGCCACAUUGGGACUGAGACACGGCCCAA